AUUUGUUCCAUGAUAAUAUCAUCGUUCUAUUAAAAUAUUAAUUUACUAAAACCCUAUACAAAACCAUUAUCAAAGACAAGAAACAAGAAAAUUAAUCCAACGGCCAGCAAAUCCACUAACUAUAAUAUGUAAGUCCCACAAUAUAAAAUGUUGAAUUUCGAUAGUACUGAAGAUUUCUGCUCAUAAUUACAGGAUCCUAAUAACUAACCACAUUUGCUCCUAUUUCUUUUUUCAUGAGCAAGAUUCAAACUUCUUCUGAACAAGACGAUCCAUGCCCAACCUGCUGCAUCUAAACCAAGAAACAUUGCCAACAACUAACUAAAGCAAACAAGAAAAGACACAAAAGCUCUAUUUCAAUGCCAAAAAGAACAAAGAGUUUUGCUUUUCACAAAGGGUGUUGUAAAAUAACAACUUUCAAGCUCUUAGGGUUGAAGAAUCCAAUAAAAACACAGUUAACUAGUGCAGACAUACAUUUCACCAAGCACCACCGACAGCAUUACAAUUUCUUAUCCAAUAUCACUGCAAGUUUCAGCCCGGCAAAAUCAUUUACAGUACAACCAAUUUUAUCAAACUUACCUUCCUCAUUAUUCUCUCUAAAUUUUAGAUAAUCCAAGCAGACAAAUGGCUUAUAUAAUCUUAAGUUUUCUUCUCCUAUAAUGUCAUCCGGUGCUGAGAUCACCUUCUCAUCCUCAAAACACCAAAAGAAAGCAAGAGAAAGGCGAUUUACAAAUCGCUUUAAAAUAACACGGUGCUCAGAUGAUCUUAACUGCCCAUUGCUCCACGCUUGCAUCAUGUCUCCAACAUUAACUACAAGAGCAUUCUCACAUGGGCAUAUAUCCAUCCAUUCCCCUUGCCUAGAUCUCAUUUGCAGCCCCCCAGUCUCAUCCUGAUAAAGUAUUGUUAUGCAACUCAUAUCAGUGUGCAUGCCAAGUCCUUCAACCUCCUUUUCUUCAACAUUCUUUGGAGGUGAAUAAUUUACAAUCCUCAAAUACCCAUGACAGUUGCUGAAUUCUGAAUCACAAAACUUCCUGUCAUAACCAUCACCCAAACUCAUUAAUAAAACCUUUAUGAUCCUCCUUGAUAACUCUAUCAUCUUGUUUCCAUACUCCUGUAAUAUCUCACUAUGUGGUGGAAGAGAGGUAACACAAUUAAUAUGUGCAAUCCAUAUAACUAAAACUGCGGCAAAAUAUAUAUAAUUAUUAUAAUAAAUAAAAUUCACAAGUUAUUAGAAAGAAAUUUCACCUAAAUUCACACUUCUGUUGACUAAAUAGCACAUCAGCAGAACUCUUAGCAGAAGCAAAAAAAUCUGGUCCUGACACCCGCAAGCUUUCAAAAUAAGGUGACGCUAUGAAACGAGGAGUAUACGUUUUCAAGCACGAUGAUGGGCCAAGCUUGAGUUUGGAAUCCAAAGGAAUGCUAAAGAUUUGCUUUGAACAUGAACAAACUUCAUCAAACAAGUUUUUUGAGAUACCGUGGUUGAUGAUAUAAAAGAAGCCCCACUCUUGACAGGCUUUAUAAAGGGAAGAUAGGGAGGAGAUCUCAACAGAUUGAGAUAAAUCUAACACAGGAAGCUUAAAAGACGUCUUGUGUUCAGACAUAGUCAUAAAGGAAAAUGCAAUGGUUGCUUCUGUUGAAUCAAAGUGCAAGGCUAAAGGGUAGGCUACAUUCAGAUAGGUGCUAGAGUGGAAUAAGUUUUAUAUAACACUAUGAUAACGCCAAUUUUCAAAGGAGCAUUUUGAUUAAUUCUACCACAUUCAGAAAUGAUAAGGUAACUUUAUGGACCCUAAUUAUUUUGCCA
rnacentral:misc_RNA from 1 species